AUUGAACGCUGGCGGCAGGCCUAACACAUGCAAGUCGAACGAGUGGCGGACGGGUGAGUAAUGUCUGGGAAACUGCCCGAUGGAGGGGGAUAACUACUGGAAAUGGUAGCUAAUACCGCAUACCAUCGGAUGUGCACAGGUGGGAUUAGCUAGUAGGUGGGGUAACGGCUUACCUAGGCGACGAUCCCUAGCUGGGUUGAGAGGAUGACCGGCCACAUUGGGACUGAGACACGGUCCAGACUCCUACGGGAGGCAGCAGUGGGGAAUCUUGCACAAUGGGCGAAAGCCUGAUGCAGCCAUGCCGCGUGUAUGAAGAAGGCUUUCGGGUUGUAAAGUACUUUCGGCGAGGAAGCGUUAAUCAAACAAGAAGCACCGGCUAACUCCGUGCCAGCAGCCGCGGUAAUUC
rnacentral:rRNA from 1 species